AACGAACGCUGGCGGCAUGCCUAACACAUGCAAGUCGAACGAGACCUUCGGGUCUAGUGGCGCACGGGUGCGUAACGCGUGGGAACCUGCCCUUAGGUUCGGAAUAACUCCCCGAAAGGGGUGCUAAUACCGGAUAAUGUCUUCGGACCAAAGAUUUAUCGCCUUUGGAUGGGCCCGCGUUGGAUUAGCUAGUUGGUAGGGUAAAAGCCUACCAAGGCGACGAUCCAUAGCUGGUCUGAGAGGAUGAUCAGCCACACUGGGACUGAGACACGGCCCAGACUCCUACGGGAGGCAGCAGUGGGGAAUAUUGGACAAUGGGCGAAAGCCUGAUCCAGCAAUGCCGCGUGAGUGAUGAAGGCCUUAGGGUUGUAAAGCUCUUUUACCCGGGAUGAUAAUGACAGUACCGGGAGAAUAAGCUCCGGCUAACUCCGA
rnacentral:rRNA from 1 species